UACGAAGGGGGCUAGCGUUGCUCGGAAUCACUGGGCGUAAAGCGCACGUAGGCGGAUCUUUAAGUCAGGGGUGAAAUCCCAAGGCUCAACCUUGGAACUGCCUUUGAUACUGGGGAUCUCGAGUCCGGAAAAGGUGAGUGGAACUGCGAGUGUAGAGGUGAAAUUCGUAGAUAUUCGCAAGAACACCAGUGGCGAAGGCGGCUCACUGGUCCGGUACUGACGCUGAGGUGCGAAAGCGUGGGGAGCAAACAGGG
rnacentral:rRNA from 1 species